AUGUGGCUUGGAGACGUCCCAGCAGCCACAGAGAAGACAAGCCCGCUGUGCUGGAAUCUUCCGCGAGCUCAGGCCCGCAAGGUCCAUCCUGAAAGCGGCAGACAGACUCUCAGGAAGACAUCCUGUAUGUGGCCCAUUCUCCGCAGUCGGGACAUCUUGAGCCGUGCGUUGCUCUCUGCUGUACCUUCCAGCCCUGGGGCCUCUGACAUUUACUUUCCUAGUGUGUCCAACGCUCCGAUUUCUUUGAGGAGGUAAAGUCGGUGUCCAGUCUAGAGGAAGGACGACAGGUGUCCUGUCCUUUUCUGUACAGACUCAGAAUAAUAAAAAAGUCAAAGUUACUACUGCUUCUGGUGUA
rnacentral:lncRNA from 1 species